UCGGGAAUAUUGCGCAAUGGAGGAAACUCUGACGCAGUGACGCCGCGUAUAGGAAGAAGGUUUUCGGAUUGUAAACUAUUGUCAUUAGGGAAGAUAAAAGACUGUACCUAAGGAGGAAGCCCCGGCUAACUAUGUGCCAGCAGCCGCGGUAAUACAUAGGGGGCAAGCGUUAUCCGGAAUUAUUGGGUGUAAAGGGUGCGUAGACGGAAGAACAAGUUGGUUGUGAAAUCCCUCGGCUCAACUGAGGAACUGCAACCAAAACUAUUCUCCUUGAGUGUCGGAGAGGAAAGUGGAAUUCCUAGU
rnacentral:rRNA from 1 species